CCCCUCUCAGGGUCCCACCUGAAGAGUUUCCAGUACUCUUCCAGUCUCGACUAUGGGAGGGAGAGUCAAGCAGAGACAUACCCAUUCCAUUCCUAGCUGGGGCAGUGACCAGCGAGUGGAAGGUAAUCUGCUACAAGU